rnacentral:tRNA from 1 species
GAUUGUUUGGUCUAGUGGUUAAGACACCAGGCUUGAAACCAGGAGACCAUGAGUUCUAGUCCCAUCUUAGCCU